rnacentral:rRNA from 1 species
CCUACGGGUGGCUGCAGUAGGGAAUCUUUCACAAUGGGCGAAAGCCUGAUGGAGCAACGCCGCGUGCAGGAUGAAGGCCUUCGGGUUGUAAACUGCUUUUAUAAGCGAGAAAUAUGAAGGUAACUUAUGAAUAAGGAACGGCUAACUACAUGCCAGCAGCCGCGGUCAUACGUGGGAGCCGAGCAUUAUCCGGAGUGACUGGGUGUAAAGAGUUGCGUAGGUGGCAUAAUAAGUAGCUAGUGAAAUCUGGUGGCUCAAACAUUCAGACUAUGAGCUAAACUGUCAAGCUUGAGACCGUUAGGGGUAACUGGAAUUUGUAGUGUAGGAGUGAAAUCCGUAGAUAUUAGAAGGAACACCAAUAGCGUAGGCAGGUUACUGGGACGGUUCUGACACUAAGGCACGAAAGCGUAGGGAGCAAACGGGAUUAGAUACCCUUGUAGUC